rnacentral:rRNA from 49 species
GAGUUUGAUCCUGGCUCAGAUUGAACGCUGGCGGCAUGCCUUACACAUGCAAGUCGAACGGCAGCACGGGAGCUUGCUCCUGGUGGCGAGUGGCGAACGGGUGAGUAAUGCAUCGGAACGUAUCCUGGAGUGGGGGAUAACGUAGCGAAAGUUACGCUAAUACCGCAUAUUCUGUGAGCAGGAAAGCGGGGGACCUUCGGGCCUCGCGCUCUUGGAGCGGCCGAUGUCGGAUUAGCUAGUUGGUGAGGUAAAGGCUCACCAAGGCGACGAUCCGUAGCAGGUCUGAGAGGAUGAUCUGCCACACUGGAACUGAGACACGGUCCAGACUCCUACGGGAGGCAGCAGUGGGGAAUUUUGGACAAUGGGGGCAACCCUGAUCCAGCCAUGCCGCGUGAGUGAAGAAGGCCU